GACGAACGCUGGCGGCGUGCCUAAUACAUGCAAGUCGAGCGGACUUUCAAGAAGCUUGCUUUUUGAAAGUUAGCGGCGGACGGGUGAGUAACACGUGGGCAACCUGCCUGCAAGACGGGGAUAACUCCGGGAAACCGGGGCUAAUACCGGAUAAUAUCUUCCUUCGCAUGAAGGAAGGUUGAAAGGCGGCGCAAGCUGCCGCUUGCAGAUGGGCCCGCGGCGCAUUAGCUAGUUGGUGAGGUAACGGCUCACCAAGGCGACGAUGCGUAGCCGACCUGAGAGGGAGAUCGGCCACACUGGGACUGAGACACGGCCCAGACUCCUACGGGAGGCAGCAGUAGGGAAUCUUCCGCAAUGGACGAAAGUCUGACGGAGCAACGCCGCGUGAGCGAAGAAGGUCUUCGGAUCGUAAAGCUCUGUUGUCAGGGAAGAACAAGUACCGUUCGAACAGGGCGGUACCUUGACGGUACCUGACCAGAAAGCCACGGCUAACUACGUG
rnacentral:rRNA from 1 species